GACGAACGCUGGCGGCGUGCUUAACACAUGCAAGUCGAACGGAAAGGCCCUGCUUUUGUGGGGUGCUCGAGUGGCGAACGGGUGAGUAACACGUGAGUAACCUGCCACUGACUUUGGGAUAACUUCAGGCAACUGGGGCUAAUACGGGAUAGGAGCUCCUGCUGCAUGGUGGGGGUUGGAAAGUUUCUGCGGUUGGGGAUGGACUCGCGGCUUAUCAGCUUGUUGGUGGGGUAGUGGCUUACCAAGGCUUUGACGGGUAGCCGGGCUGAGAGGGUGACCGGCCACAUUGGGACUGAGAUACGGCCCAGACUCCUACGGGAGGCAGCAGUGGGGAAUAUUGCACAAUGGGCGGAAGCCUGAUGCAGCAACGCCGCGGGCGGGAUGACGGCCUUCGGGUUGUAAACCGCUUUCGCCUGUGACGAAGCGUGAGUGACGGUAAUGGGUAAAGAAGCACCGGCUAACUACGUG
rnacentral:rRNA from 1 species